ACCCUUUUCCAGUUCAUAAGCGUGAUGAUUGUGUUCUCACACACUUGAGUGACAUGUGCCUCCCUAUAAACCUUGUUACAACAUGGGUACAUUACCCAUCUGAUG